rnacentral:tRNA from 1 species
ACCUGGGUGGCUCAGUUGGUUGAGCAUCUGACUUUUGAUCUCAGUUCAGGUCUUGAUCCCAGGGUUGUGAGUUCAAGCCUCACAUUAGGCU